rnacentral:rRNA from 1 species
CCUACGGGAGGCAGCAGUGGGGAAUAUUGCGCAAUGGGGGAAACUCUGAUGCAGCCACGCCGCGUGAAUGAUGAAGGCCUUCGGAUUGUAAAGUACUUUCAUCGGGGAAGAAGAGAGUGAAGGUACUUCCGGUAUACACCUCGGCUACCUGCGUGAGAGCCGCCGCGGUACUCCGUAGGAGCCAAGCGUUAUACGUAAUGACUGGGCGCAAAGGGCGGGAAGGCGGUUUGGAAAGUGGGUAGAGAAACUCCGGGGCUCAACCUGGGAACUCCUACCGACACUGGCGGACUUGAGUGCUGGAGCGGCAAGUGGAAUUCCUAGUGUAGCGGUGGAAUGCGUAGAGAUUAGGAGGAACACCAGUGGCGAAGGCGACUCGCUGGACGGUAACUGACGCUGAGGCACGAAAGCGUGGGGAGCAAACAGGAUUAGAUACCCUAGUAGUC